GAUGAAGAACGUAGCAAAAUGCGAUAAGUAAUGCGAAUUGCAGAAUUCCGUGAGUCAUCGAAUCUUUGAACGCACAUUGCGCCCUCUGGUAUUCCGGAGGGCAUGCCUGUCUGAGCGUCAUUGUCAACCCUCAAGCUCAGCUUGCUGUUGGGUCCCCGUCGUUGCUUUAACGGCGGACCCGAAAGGUAAUGGCAGAGUCCGUGAGACCCUAGACGCAGCGAGCUUCUAGCACGCGUCUGGACGUUUUUCGGGCUCGGUCUUAACUAGAUGAUAACUUCCGAUUGACCUCAGAUCAGGUAGGGAUACCCGCUGAACUUAAGCAUAUCAAUAAGCGGAGGA
rnacentral:misc_RNA from 1 species